UUAAAACAUAUCAAAACAUUUUAGAAAACCUUCACUCUACCCUUCAGGGAAACUCUGACAUUCAAAAUUCCACCGGACGGUAGGAACGCCGAUGUCUGAACUAGCCGGGUAUUACAAGCUUCCCCCCUUACAAAACAUUCGUCCUCGAAUGUUAAAAACAAACAGAUAAGCAAGUAAAGCCUAUCACUUCUCUCUAAAGAGAGAAUAGAUAACUGCUGCCAUCUCUAGGUCAUGGGUAGGGUAAUUCAACUCGUGCUUCUUCAACUGUCUAGAAGCAUAAGCGAUUACUCUAUCACUCUGCUCCUGAUCUGAGUUUAUACUCAUAACCUUUUUCUGAAUUCCACAGCUUUCGCUGCGCUACUCUGAUCCUUAUUCUUCUUUUCUUUCUCUUAACUAAACUACUCUCUUUGUGAAAACUCUCACUUUAACAGAUACAAAUCUGUACUGAUACCAAUCCGUAAUCACACUGGAAUCACAACCAGUUUCCACUAACAGUGCCAAUAGAUCAUCAAUCUUUUCUACCAAUCUGU
rnacentral:lncRNA from 1 species